rnacentral:rRNA from 1 species
GUGGGGAAUCUUGCGCAAUGGGCGAAAGCCUGACGCAGCCAUGCCGCGUGAAUGAUGAAGGUCUUAGGAUUGUAAAAUUCUUUCACCGGGGACGAUAAUGACGGUACCCGGAGAAGAAGCUCCGGCUAACUUCGUGCCAGCAGCCGCGGUAAUACGAAGGGGGCUAGCGUUGCUCGGAAUUACUGGGCGUAAAGGGCGCGUAGGCGGACAGCUUAGUCAGAGGUGAAAGCCCAGGGCUCAACCUUGGAAGUGCCUUUGAUACUGGCUGUCUUGAGUUUGGGAGAGGUGAGUGGAACUCAGAGUGUAGAGGUGAAAAUCGUAGAUAUUCGGAAGAACACCAGUGGCGAAGGCGACUCACUGGCCCAAUACUGACGCUGAGGCGCGAAAGCGUGGGGAGCAAACAGGAUUAGAUACCCCUGUAGUCC